rnacentral:rRNA from 1 species
CACGUAGGGGGCAAGCGUUGUCCGGAUUUAUUGGGCGUAAAGAGCUCGUAGGUGGUUCGGUAAGUCGGGUGUGAAACCUCCAGGCUCAACCUGGAGACGCCACCCGAUACUGCUGUGACUGGAGUCCGGUAGGGGAGCGUGGAAUUCCUGGUGUAGCGGUGAAAUGCGCAGAUAUCAGGAAGAACACCGGUGGCGAAGGCGGCUCUCUGGGCCUUACCUGACGCUGAGGAGCGAAAGCGUGUGUAGCGAACAGG